rnacentral:rRNA from 1 species
CUGUGCAAAGGUAGUAUAAUCAUUAGUUUUUUAAUUGAAGGCUUGUAUGAAAGGUUGGACAAAGAAUAAUCUGUUUUUAUUUUUAUUUUUGAAUUUAACUUUUAAGUGAAAAGGCUUAAGUGAAUUUAAGGGACGAUAAGACCCUAUAAAUCUUUAUAUUAGAUUAUUUUUAGUUAUUUAAUAUUGUGAGUAUAACAAUAAAGUGGUAUAUAUUGUGUUGGGGUGAUGAGAAUAUAAUAAAUAACUGUUCUAAAAUUAAAACAAAAUUAUUUGUAUAAAUAAUAGAUCCUUUAUUGAGAUUAAAAGUUUAAGUUACUUUAGGGAUAACAGCGUUAUUUUUUUUGAGAGUUCUUAUCGAAAAAAAAGUUUGCGACCUCGAUGUUGAAUUAAAAUUUCUUUGUGGUGUAGUUGUUACAAGAGAGAGUCUGUUCGACUUUUAAAUUUUU